GCCUGUGUGGUUCAGUGGCUAGAGCUUAGGCCCACGCACAGCAGGACCACAGGUUCGAGUCCUGUCAAGGGCA
rnacentral:tRNA from 1 species